rnacentral:miRNA from 1 species
UACCUCAAAAUUCCGCAACAGUCUGUUUCAUCAGUAAAGAAUCAUGAUGAAACAGACUGUAAAGAAUCACUGAUGAAACAGACUGUUGCGGAAUUU